UUGUAGUAUUGCUUUGAGUAGUUUAAAGUCAUCCUUAAAUAAGUUCUGACUCAACAUACUGCCUUAGUACAAUAUUCUAAAGUGAAGUACUCUGAUGUGAAUUUGAAACAUGCCUGCAUUUUCUAAGUUUCUUCAUAUGUAUAUGUACAUACACCAGUACCCAAGAAAAGCAUACCAGAAGCCUGAUUUCCACAUUGCAUUGAUAAGGAGCUUGGUCUUUUGCCUUCAUAUAAUUCAGUUGCCUGGGUGAAAUAGAACAUAAAUCUCUUCAAAUGUCUGUCCAUUCACAGUUUUCAAAAUGGUAACUUUUCAUCUGGGGAAGCAUGAUGCCAAGUUUAUCUGUAAUCAGCUCUAUUACUGGAUGUAUAACAACAGACAUUUUCCUACCUGGUCAGUAGGUUGUAGAUUUAACUGUUGUUGCUUUUUUCCCCCCAGUAGAUUUUCACUACAUUUUCAAAUCUAUAUUUGGAAAAACCUGCAAAGUGCUAUGAGGAAAGAGAAGGCUUCACACAUGUCCAACACAGUGCCCAGAUUCCCACCAGUGCAUGGUGAGACCUGUAGCAUGUGAG
rnacentral:lncRNA from 1 species